AAAUAAUCUGUAAGCGGGUAAUGAGCGAAGGAAGGAAAGAGAAGAGAAGAGUAGGAAGAAUGUUUGUGUGACCCAGAUAGGAAGGACCAUCGACGGCGUGUUGAGUCGCGCAGCCGAAGAACAACUAAACGAAGAAUAACAAACCAGUCGCGCGCCUUUCACGCUACUGCAGCCGCGACUCUUCCAAGUUAGUCUCUCGCGAGUUUGACUCGGCUUAACAGCUCUGCUUCAAAUCGGACACCUUCUUUCAUCCAUUUUCCCUCUCUUCCACAUAUGCACUCUCCCUGCGAACAUCACAUCUGUAUCAGACUCUUUCUUUAACGCGUUGGAGGCGAACGUAAACAACCAGGAGGAGAGACAGAUGCAAAUUAAUUCGCGCCUCGCGUAACGAGUUGUUGUGUCUGGUUUCAUCGGAAGAGGACGAGCGCAUCAGCAGCAGCAGCAGCAACAACCAUUAAAAGGAGCGACGACGGAGAGGAGAUUUCAGAAAAAUUGGGAUUAAUUAGUUCGUCUAUUCAGAUUAUGAAAUAUAUACUAGCCCUAACAUGGAUUUGCCAGGCGAUAAUAUACGCUCAAGGUGCACCGAUGAUGAUAGACGCAACAAACAAAGACGAUUUCAACAUCAGCAAUUGGAACUAUCGAUUACCAUCGAACACGAAACCGAUUUUGGACGACAGGGUCAGAAAACACCAGAAGCCUGAACCGGCGAAAGUUUCACCCACUGGGAGACUGCUGUGGGAACGCGAGGACUCGACGCAUCUACCGAAGAUAGUAGAUAAAGCCCUACAGCUGUUGAAUUUGAAACAGGUGGCGUUCGAAAUCGAGAAUUCGUUGCUGUCCAAGGUCUCAUGCACUGCGUGCAAAGCAGGCGCUGGUCUGCUGCAGCAUUACAUCAGAACGGGGAAAACCGAUAAGGAGAUCAAGAAGAUGAUCAAUCAGUUCUGCGUCAGUCUGAAGAUACAAUCGGCGAGGGUGUGCGAGGGCAUCACCGAGCUCUUCUCCGGUGAGGUCAUCUACGUUUUAAGGAAAAUCGAUUCAAGUCCCGAAGAGAUAUGCAGCGUGAUCAUCGGCGACGCUUGCGGCGACGUCUACAAUCCUUACCACGAGUGGCAAGUCAUGUUUCCACCGGUCGCGAAACCGGAAAUCAAGGCGCAGAGGAUUCCGGAAGUGACGGCGCCUUCUUUCAAAGUUCUUCACCUCUCCGACACCCACUACGAUCCGUACUACAUGGAGGGAAGCAACGCCGAUUGCAACGAACCUCUGUGCUGCAGAUUGACGAACGGUCAUCCCGCAACCAAAGAACAGGCGGCCGGAAAGUGGGGCGAUUACAGGAAGUGCGACACGCCUAAGAUCACCAUCGAUAACAUGCUGAAACACAUCUCGGAAACACAUACCGAUAUAGAUUACAUUCUUUGGACGGGCGAUUUACCGCCGCACGACGUUUGGAAUCAGACCAGGGAGGAGAACCUGAAGAUUCUCAAGGAAACGGUCCUUCAGAUGUCCGACAUGUUUCCGGGAAUUCCCAUAUUCCCGGCUCUCGGUAACCACGAAUCCGCUCCAGUCAACAGCUUUCCGCCACCUUUCAUCGAUAGCCCCGAAAACAACAUCAGUUGGUUGUACGAAGAGCUGAACGAGCAGUGGAGGAAGUGGCUUCCGAGUUCAGUGAGCAACACCGUUCGCAGAGGAGCCUUCUACUCGGUCUUAGUCCGGCCCGGAUUUCGUCUCAUCUCUUUAAACAUGAAUUACUGCAACAACAAAAAUUGGUGGCUCUUGAUGAACAGCACUGAUCCAGCGACCGAGCUGCAAUGGUUCAUCUACGAAUUGCAAUCGGCGGAAUUCAACGGCGAGAAAGUCCACGUCAUUGGACACAUUCCUCCGGGUCACUCGGAUUGCUUGAAGGUGUGGUCGAGGAAUUAUUACGCCAUCAUCAGCAGGUACGAAUCGACGGUCACGGCGCAGUUCUUCGGACACACGCAUUUCGAUGAAUUCGAAGUUUUCUACGAUAAGGAGGAUUUGAGUAGAAGCAUCAGCGUGGCUUACGUGGGGCCAUCCGUGAGUCCCUAUUACGAUCUGAAUCCCGGUUACAGGAUCUAUUACGUCGACGGAGAUCACGAAAAAUCGACAAGAGCUGUGAUCGAUCACGAGACUUGGACUAUGAAUUUGCGGGAAGCGAACAUCUACGGUUUUCCGGUGUGGUUCAAACUGUACACGGCGAGACAGGCGUUCGGAAUGGAAGCCCUGAGACCCGACGAUUGGGACGCGUUCAUCGAGAAGAUGAGCAACGAGCCGCAACUCUUCGAUCUCUUCUACAAGUACUACUACAAGGCGAGUCCGGUGCGGCCCUUCUGCGACACCGAAUGCAAGAAGAGGAUCUUGUGCGAUCUGCGAUCGGGCAGGUCGCACGAUCGCAGGAAUCUCUGUCAAUCCAUAGAGUCGAGGAUCGACAGCACCGCGAACACCUCGUGGAAGCAGUGGAUCUACAACACCAUCACCGUCUCUAUGGUUUAAAAUGGUGAUGGUUUUUUAAGCGAGAGAACGAAAAACGUCAAAGUUUUUUUGAUUACGUUUGCCUCGAGAAUGUCUAUGCUGUGGUCCAUUCCGAGGCUGACGAUACAAAUCCCCAAAUACGUCUUAGGCUUAGGUUAACGCUGCACUAAACCCAUAGCACUAUUAAUAUUGUUUAAGCUAUCAAUGGUUAUUUUACUAUUUUUAUAUUUAUUUUUUGAUGUACAGUUAACGAAAGCUAUACGAUUUAGUCCACGAAAUACUCCACUUGUAGACUAUACACGUUUAUUGAUCUUUAACCAAAUAAUAUUGUUACACGGACUAUUUCUCCACGUGUAUACUUACUUAUUCGCUGCGUUCGCAGCAAAAUCCCUGUUUUUUUUUAUUGUAAUUUUAUUUUACG